AACACUAUGGUUCGUCCUAAAAAAAUAAAUCUGCCACGGUUAACCUACGAAGAAAGACCUACGCCACGACCGCCGCCCGCGGGUCGCCCGCUCCCUCGCGCCCCUGUUGCUCCCUCCUCGAUCCCGAUCUGGAUCGAGGGGACGAGGAGCUCCUGCCUCCCCGACGGCCGGCCUCCUCCUCGCCCCGCUGCUGCGUCCGGCGCCGCCACGGCCUCUGGAGCCAGGGAAGCCAUGGCCUGAGUUCGGCCUCGAGGUCCCCGCCGCCGUCUCCUGCAGCUUCUGCCCCGCCGCCUCACCGCCCAAGCUCGCCGUCGCACCAACCUCGGCGCCGCGCCGCCGCCGGCUCUGGUCGCCUCCACCUCCGCUCCAGUGCUUAAGGAUGGAGGAGAACGGCCUGAAGUUCGUGCUCGAUCUGGUGGUCAGGUUCCCACUUCGGCAAGAGUUCGCCGAUGACCUUAAGCACUCCGAUCCGGUGCCGCUAAGGCUGCCACCCAGGGGGAGGCUGGCGCUCUUGGCACGGAGGAUUCAAUUGGUGAAUCUGGCUGCACCCUGAGGUUAAUCGGGAGGCACCUGGAUGGACGAAAAGGGAAAGCCUAAGGCCGAGAAUAGCCGAUCAUGCAUGUAUGAGUGUCCCGCACUGAUCAGGUUGCUACAUGCAGCUAAUAAAUAGUUGGUUCAUAACUGAGCACAUAAAGAAUCACAACCAUUUGAUGUUCGUUACACUCAGGGAGAAGGUUCAUUGGCACAUAGACUUCUGUGUUAACAGGGCGACAACGUCAAGGAUGGCAUCUGCGAGAACUCUUUUGUGUUAGAUAAAUUGAUGAUUAUGUCUGGAUCUCCGGGGGCAGACACUAUCAUACUGAAGCUCAGCCGGACCACGACUGUCAACAGGGUCACCGUAUUCUUUGAGGAACACAAACAAUCCAGGUAUGCAUUGCUAACUUUUCUGAACUUUUACAUGCUUCAGGCUCACUCCUUGACAACACUUAGCUAUCAUAAGGAUGAGGACGGAGCACAACUCUCUCAAUUCCCAAAAUGAGGUGGACAACACUUAGCUUACAUGUUCUUUGAGGACGGAGGAAGUUUCGCCUUAAACACAACUUUUAUCUGCUCUGAAAGAGUUACAUAUUUUGAAGUUUUUGCAACUCAGCCUAAAAGAGUUGGGUAACCAAACUCAAAAUGAGGUGGACAGUGCUCAGCGUGCAGUCACAUGGAGUAUUAGUUUCAUGGGUUAAUUUAGCACUGCAUAUUAUUAAUUGUGUUUCUAUUUUUGUUUCUCUCCAGCAAGCAUGACAAUAACAAGUUUAUAUCCAUCAGUUUCUUAGUACCCUGUUGGUUUCAGUAUUAAAUGGCCACAACACUUUCCUAUUUUGUUUGAGUUUUCAUGUGCUACUCUAUUAGGAAUAACAACUAAAAACAAUGAACGUUUGAUUUGAUUUCCUUCCCAACACAAGCAACAAAUAUAAUAAAUGUCUCGCAUCCUUGACUCCAGCAAAAAAUUCAUUGACUGACAUAAUGGAUCUGUCUAUUAAUCAAGAUUGUAUUACUAAACCUCCAGAUUGAUUAUUUUUAGUUAUGCAGCACACAGUAUUCUCCCCAGUUCUGCUCGAUUGGAUUGUCAGUUCAUGUACUCUGGUAAAUCAUUAUGGAAACUUUGAUUAUAAGAAACUAAUUUGUGUUCCUGUGGGUUUAUCUAUGCUCCUUUGUCGUUGAUGCGCCUAUGUUACUGUAAUUAUUUAGUUCCUCCGCUUCUAGGAUGAUCUCGGGUUUAGUAGUGAUAUAAAAAAGCUGUACAUUUCUGCGUUUCCUCUGCUAUUGUAUUGUUUCAUCACUUUCUGCUCCUUAUGGGCUGCCACUCUUUGACACCCUUUUUGUGCUCAAACAUUUUUCGAUGUCCCUUGCAGGAUCCAAAUGAGCUUGGUUACGUACUAAAUUAUUGUUGAGGAUCUCAGGUAAUCGUUGCAGUAGAAGAUUACGCCCCUGAUCAUCAUUCUCAUUUUCAAACUUGCCAUUUAUCAGAGGAUUUGGAUGGGGUGCAUUCAUGCAUUAUAUUGGAGCAAGGACCUGCCGAGCAGGGGGAUACCAUGGGGAGGCGAACCUGGUAAAAUAGGGGUGGAAAGUAUACUAUAGGAAAGACUGUGGGGUUUGUGUAUCCUUAUCCAGGACAUUGUGAAGGCUUCUGAUGCAGUUUACAAGAAGCAAUUGGUGAGCUAAUUCAGAGAUAAGUGAAAUGAUAAUAAGAAGGUUAAAUAAUGUUGUUCAAUCUUUCCGUCAAGCAACCUGUUUGGCCCCAAAUGUCCGCACCGACGCGGUGACGCCCGUGGGCGCCACCGUUCCUUCCUGAAGGGCAUCGGGUGUUGCUUGGCAUGCGGAGGUUCAAGGUGCUAGGAGCGAGGUGGUAAAUCUCCGGUGGGCGCAGCGGUUGCGGGUCAUCAUCAUUUUCGUCGAUCCGACGCUGUCGACAUUAUUUUCUCUCUUCUUUCUCUUUUUUUUUUCUUUUGGGCGUGCUUGUGCUGUUUGCCCCAGCAUUGGACUCUUGGUUGUAUUGGGUUGUUGCUCUAUCUAUAUAGCGGGGCGAAAGCCUAUUUCGUAAGAUUCUUCCAUGAAUUCAAGACUUGGCAAACCACUCCCAUUACAAGGUUCCAUAACACAUGCUGGAUUUGUAUGUCAAGAUAUCUGAAGGGCAAAAACUUAGUACAUCUAUUCUGUUUUUUUAAUAAAUCUCCCUCUUGAAAUGAGCUACAA